UGAGAGGUUUCCAUUCCUCUAUCCUCUUUGGCUUGUGGUUGGAUCCCCUUACCUUGUGGCAGCCUUGGUUGAUUCCAUAUUGGUGCAAGUUAGGGAUGGCAACUGUGGCUGAUCUCACAUCAAAUUCUGCAGCCUCUUGGUUUAGGGCUGCCUGCUUUUGGAGUGUUGUGGCGGUGGAAAUCGAGAAGAUGUGGAGGAAGACAAGAGAUGAGAUUUACUACAUCAUUCACUUGUCCUAUUGCUAAGUUUAGUAAUUGUUUAAACAUUAGGCUUGGCAUAGCUCUUGACCAAGGCCCAAUUUAGCCACUAGCUUGAUGUUGGCUCCUUUCAAAGCUUAGAGUAGGAUUAGUUGUCACUUGUUCUUUAUUGUAGUAAGGGUCCCCACAAACAAAUGUAUCACUCUCUUGUAUUUCUAUUUUUCCAACAAUUUGUAAUUCAAAACUUAAAUUUCCUUGCA